ACCCGCUGAACUUAAGCAUAUUAUUAAGCGGAGGAAAAGAAACUAACCAGGAUUCCCUCAGUAAGGGCGACUGAAGCGGGAAGUGCUCAGGAUGUGAAUCUGCGCUAUGCGCCGAAUUGUGGUCUGUAGACGGUGGCAUUACCAGCCGGGCCAAGUCCCUUGGAACAGGGCAGCUGAGAGGGUGAGACUCCCGUCCGCCCGGCAGGAUGAGCUACUAGUCAACGAGUCGAGUUGUUUGGGAUUGCAGCUCAAAGCGGGUGGUAAAUUCCAUCUAAAGCUAAAUAUUGGUGGGAGACCGAUAGCGUACAAGUACCGUGAGGGAAAGAUGCAAAGAACUUUGAAAAGAGAGUUAAAAGUGCUUGAAGCUGUCAAGGGCUAACCGCAUGGGAAGAGCGUAUGGUCCUGCGGACACUUAGGGCUGAUGGUGUGUGCUGGCGGCAGGAGUAGGGUCAAACCGCUCGUGCCGAUUGUUGCAUAUCGUUGGUUUGCACUUGUCUACUUGACCGGUCAAGCUGGCUUCUAUGCCGGUGGGAGAAUGGCUAAAGUGCGCGGCGUCAGCUUGCUGGCGUCGGUCUUGGCUGAUACCGCCGGAAGGAGUGAGGAAUCAAGCGUUGUCAUCGCCGCUGCGGUCGGCUGUUUUGGUGUAUUGUGUAGCACUGCCUCUGGUAUGUGUUGCGCGCUACAUCGGAGCACUCCGGCUGAACAGGGACUUGCUCGCUGAGGAGCUUGACUUGAUCUUUCCAUUCGACCCGUCUUGAAACACGGACCAAGGAGUCUAACAUAUAUGCGAGUGUUUGGGUGGCAAACCCAUGCGCGGAAUGAAAGUAAUAGGUGGGAUCCCGUCUGGGUGCACCAUCGACCGACCAUGAUCCUUGUGUGAAAGGUUUGAGUAAGAGCAUAUCUGUUGGGACCCGAAAGAUGGUGAACUAUGCCUGAGCAGGGCGAAGCCAGGGGAAACUCUGGUGGAGGCUCGCAGCGAUACUGACGUGCAAAUCGUUCGUCAAACUUAGGUAUAGGGGCGAAAGACUAAUCGAACCAUCUAGUAGCUGGUUCCCUCCGAAGUUUCCCUCAGGAAAGG
rnacentral:rRNA from 1 species